rnacentral:rRNA from 1 species
UACAGGGGGGCAAGCGUUGUUCGGAAUUACUGGGCGUAAAGGGUUUGUAGGUGGCUUGCUAAGUCAGACGUGAAAUCCCUCAGCUUAACUGGGGAACUGCGUCUGAUACUGGCGAGCUUGAGUGCAGGAGAGGAACGCGGAAUUCCAGGUGUAGCGGUGAAAAUGCGUAGAUAUCUGGAGGAACACCGGUGGCGAAGGCGGCGUUCUGGACUGCAACUGACACUGAAAAACGAAAGCCAGGGGAGCAAACGGG